ACUAAAACUUUAUGUGCACAGUCAUAACUCCCACACUGUCUUUUUUUUUUUUGCAAAACAGGGUGGUCUUCCUCUGCUCCAAAACACUUAUGGCAGUUUCAUGCAGCUAUUGCAAGCUCCUAUUGAAUCAGAGAGUGCUCUAUAUUUGACAUCCAAUAGAUUUGAGUAUGACAACACCUUUUGGGGUUUUGAUCCUCACAAUGGUUAUCAACAAAAUGACCUGCAAAAUGCACAAACAGACACCUCUCAGAUGUGCAACUCUUUGCCACAAAGUGUAGCUGUGCAUCCUCCUAUGGCAUCACUGGACAUGCUAUAUGAUGAAAUGCAGAAAUCAAGCGCUGAUGUUGAUAAUCAAGCUGAGAUGUGCAGGCCAACAGUACAAUUGAAAGCAUCAUCUGUAGAAAUAGAACAAGAUAAAAGUGCAGAAAAUCCAGAUCAAAAUUUUAGUGAGGAAGAUAUAAACAUAUUUCUGGAGAAUGAAAGUGUAGCAGUUGUUCAGAGAGGUGGUCAGGAUGCUAAAAGUGCACAUGUGCCGUCAAUCAACAAAGUUUUUGCUGAUGAAAAUGAAGCUUUUGACUUCUACAAUGGUUAUGCUUAUAUGGAUGCGGCGGCGACAACUUGUGGUGUAGCUUCUGUUGGUGCUCAAACUGGUAUAUUGAUGGGUCCUAGUGGUGUUGGUAUUGAUGCUGAGAGCACAAACUGA
rnacentral:lncRNA from 1 species